GGGGAGUUGGUCCAGCUGGCUCCGCUGGUGAGGUAGGGGCGCCUGGAGACAUUGGUACCCCAGGGAAGGCAGGUACUCCUGGACUUAGAGGUGAGAAUGGAGGCCCUGGGCGUGUAGGAGAGAGAGGGGCCCCGGGCCCAGCUGGUGCCCCGGGAGACAAGGGAGAGCCUGGAGAAGAUGGACCAGGGGGCCCUGAUGGGCCGGCGGGACCACCAGGCAUCUCAGGACAGAGAGGUGUUGUGGGCAUACCUGGAGUCAGAGGAGAGAGCGGGAUG